UAUCGGAGGUAAAAUGGAGCUGGGCUUGACUGAUGGAGAUUGUUAUGAGGAAAUAUAUAUGUUUAUUUGGAAACAUAUUAUGGUUCUCCACUUGGUAAUCUGAUGGAAAAUGAUUUUUUUACCUUUUGUUCUGAAGAAUUUGCUAAAAGCCUUUUCCAGGGGUCCAAGAUUCCACACACUUCUUGAAAUUGGAUGUGGUCCCUGUCUUCACUGCACUCUCUGUGCCACGGAGCAUGUGGAGGAAAUGGUUUUGUCUGAUUAUGCUUCCAACAAUCGUCAGGAGAUUGAGCAGUGGUUACAAAAUGAUCCAAAAGCUUUUGGCUGGAGCCCAAUUGCAAAAUUUGUGUGUGAACUGGAAGGCAACAGGAGAGAAAAGGGUGCUGAUUGUUGACAAGUCAACUCUGCUUGGACAAGGCAAUGUCCUGGAGAAAACAAAGUGGAACUAUAGAAGCCCCAUGCUUCUAGGAUCACUAUUUCCAGUCUGGCUGGGGCUAGCACAAGCCAAUGAUUGUGUAGCUCUGCGAAACAUCAGCCUGUGCAUCAAGUAAAUUUCUCCUCCUUUGAUGAUGAAGAAGAGGAACAGCAUGAAGACCAUGAUUCUGACAUAAUUUAGUGAAUAACCAAACAAAUGUUUAAUUUAAAUACUUUUUAUUUCAAUUUAUAAACGUGUAAGUUCUUCUACUUUGGACACCGCUGUACAGACAUUGAUCGCGUUUGAAUAACAAAUUUUUUCCAUGAAUAUAAAGAGGAGAUUUGAUAGAGGUAUUUAAAAGCAUGAGGGAUCUACGUAAGUUAGAAAGAAACAGUUCCUCUUGGCAGAAGAAUUGAGAACUUAGAGGACACAAAUUGUACGGUGACUGGCAAUGGAAGCAAUAACGACAUUAGGAAGUAAAUAAUUUAACACAGGGAGUGAUUAACGUCUGUAAUACAUUGUCUAAGAAUGUUCUAGAGGCAGAUUCAAUUAAGGCCUUCCAAAGAGAAUAGGGUCACUGUCUGAAAAGAAAAUGAUUGCAGGAUUGUAGGGUGUAAUUGGUUAAUUUGCACUUUCAGUGAGCCAACACACACAGGAUACAGCAAUCUGAAAGGCCCCAUCCUGUGCUGUAACCAUUCUAUCGAUCCAUAACUCGAGGAUAAAUGAGACAUUAAUACUUUACUUGUCAGCCUUCAAUGUCACUCCAGUAUUUACUGCGAAAUGUCAUGGCCAGUGAAAUAUUUACAUUGUUGAUAAGGAUUCUCGUGGGCCAUCUCUUAAUGUUUAUUAUUUCAUUAAAAAAAACAUUGAGCAUCAAUCGCUUCUUUUUCGACUGUGAUCACUCCAUAUUUUCGUUAUUGGGGUAAAGCAAUACUAUGCAAUAAAUAUUGUGCCUUACCCUGCAACUUGGUAGCAUAGAAAUCCUCUCUUUUGGAUUCAAGUGAUCCAAUCAGAUCAUUUGAACUUUAAUUCUAGACAUUUGAUUGGGCAUGCAAAUUUACCAUUGCAAAUAAGAUGCUCCAUUUUAAUGAACAAACUGUUUCAGUGAAGUUUUCAUUCUCCAGGACAAUUGACUCUUUCCCUGGAUUCAUUCCAACCUGGCCACCCGACAAAUGAUGACGGAAGUCAUUACCUUAAUGAAACAACAUCAACAAUAAAUACAACACUCUAAGAAAACAGCUCAUUCUGUGUUUAAAAUAAAUGUGCAGAUUUUCUCUUGUGAAAUCCAAACGUGCAUAGACUGUUGGAU